rnacentral:rRNA from 1 species
CGAAUAGUAUCCGGUUCCGUGAAGGGGGCCGGGGAAAGGGAGGCCUCUGGUACAAGCUUCCGCUCCUGGAUGAGCCCAUGGCCCAUCAGCUAGUUGGUAGGGUAAAGGCCUACCAAGGCGACGACGGGUAGCUGGUCUGAGGGGACAACCAGCCACACUGGCACUGAGACACGGGCCAGACUCCUACGGGAGGCAGCAGUGAGGAAUAUUGCGCAAUGGGGGCAACCCUGACGCAGCAACGCCGCGUGUGGGAAGAAGGCUUUCGGGUUGUAAACCACUUUUGCCCGAGACAAAAGGGGGGACCUGAAUAAGGUUGCCCGAUGACGGUACCGGGAGAAUAAGCCACGGCUAACUCUGUGCCAGCAGCCGCGGUAAGUCAGAGGUGGCAAGCGUUGUUCGGAGUUACUGGGCGUAAAGAGUCUGUAGGUGGUCUGUCAAGUCUUUGGUGAAAGGCCGUGGCUUAACCAUGGGAAUGCCAAAGAGACUGGCAGACUGGAGGCUGGGAGAGGNAAGCGGAAUUUAGCGGGAUUUGGAGAGGGAAGCGGAAUUUAAUCACUAGU